UAAACCUGCAAACAAACAGGAUUUGUUCACCUAACAAAUACACAAUUUUUACAUUUUAAAAAAUACUCACUUAUUCUAAAUUAUAUGGCAAAGACGAGGAAGUUACUCACCUUGUGCAGUAACAGAGGUUCAAGAUGUGUCCCCCUGUGGGUGCUCCACUUUAGGUGUCGUUGCGCCCCUGCACUCAUAGCCAGAGAUUUGUGGUAGAAGUGCCCCUGUUGGGGUGUACAAGCACAGUCCCCGUCUCACGCUGCUUCAGGUGGUUAACUGGCGCUGUGCGACCAACCCCCAUAUGCCCCCGUUCCUUCUCUACUGCAGAGUCUGUAUAUGACAGAACUCUAAAGCAGAGGGCAGGAGGGUGGGCAGUGGAGCACCCACAGGGACACACAUCUCAAAGAACUUGUUACCGCACAAGGUGAGUAACUUCCUCUUCUUCGAGUGGUGUCCCUGUGGGUGCUUCACUUUAGGUGACUUCAGAGCAGUGCCCUCCGGUGGAAGGAGGGGGCUUCGGAGUUGAAGUCGUAGCAGAUGAAAACAAUGUGUGACCAAAGAGGGCAUCAGAAGAUGCGUGUUGUUGCAACGCAUAGCGUUGUGUAAAAGCGUGCGGGGAGAUCCAGGUUGUGAUCCUAAGAUUUCCGCAAUUGGGAUGUUGUUGAGAAAUGCUACGGAGGUUGAAAGACUCCUCGUAGAACGCAUAUGGAUCCCAGUAGGGGGUUGUUAUUUAUACUGGAGAUAAAGAGUUUGAUGCAGUCUGAUAUCCAUUUGAAUAGACGUUGUUGGAAAUGGUGUGCUCUUUACAGCAUUCGGUGAUAGAAAUGAAUAAUUUUGGAGAUUUGCGAAAAGAUUUUAUUCUAUCAACAUAAAAGGCGAGAGCCCUACAGACGUCCAAGUAGCGUACUCUGGAUUGUCUACUGUCUGUAAGUGGUUUUGGAAAAAAUGUAGAUCCUGAGAGCCAUGUAGUAACCAGACUUUGAGGAUAUGGAUGGACGAUGCUCUCUGCAUCCUGCAACAGAAGUCGAGGCAGAAGCAGGAGCAUGCGUGGGGGACAGACCGACAUGUGGAGAAGUUUAUGGUACAAAACAGUUCAGCUGAGUAUUGCAGCAGGAUAUGGAAUUAGAAGCUGAACAACAAAACUUUCUGUUGAGGACAUGGUACAAUCACAACUGGCCAUGAAAAUUGGCCAGAGCUGCAGUGUUCCCAUGCUCCGAUUGUCCCUAACCCAUGACUGAAGAAGUCAGGGCUGGAUCACUCAAUAACUGUCCUGUUCUGUUCAUUCCAUCUGAAGCAUCUGGCCUUACCCACUGUCAAGAGACAGGAUACUGUGCUAGAUGGACCACUGGUCUGACCCAAAAUGGCCUCUCUUAUGUCUCCUUUUUUAAGGGGCUAGAAUUCAACAUGCAUAAAGCACAGAGAUUUGAGAACUGAAGUCAGAGCUUAUACCCUUAAGAAAGAACACGGCCCAGUAGUACAGUAGAAAUCCAAAACCACUGUCUUGAAACAAUAUUUGCUAGGGACCGAAAUACAACUUUAAAUUCAAGACUGCAAUCAGAAGACAAUGCCUUAAUUCAUCCUUCUAUGCAUUUUGGGGAAAAAGAUGUACUAACCUCCUGCUCUACGUACUGCAGCAGAUAUACCCAGCCUGUGAAAUCCUGGGGAUUCUCCUCUACCACUUUCCAGAACUUCUCAUAUUCAGGAGGGAAAUGAGCCUCAACAUCAGUCGUGUGUAAACUGUGAAUAUCUGGUAUUCCACUCUCUUGUGUGGUCUCCUCAUCUACAUCAGGAGAGCUAUCGGGAGACUGUUCCAUCUCUGUGACACUCAUAAUCUCUGUACUGAAGUCCGUAAGCUGCUCUCCUGCUGCGUCAGUGCUGUUGACUGUGUUGUCAUUACUUAGGUUACAGUCAUCCUCUGUAUGAUCUGAGUUCUGCAUAGCUGCUGUUAAUGUUGUUCUGUUGAAUGAUAUCCUGUGGAAAUACAGAUUAAAGGUUACCAUCUUCCA